rnacentral:rRNA from 1 species
AACGAACGCUGGCGGCACGCUUAACACAUGCAAGUCGAACGGCAGCAGGCUUUAAUACCUUCGGGUGUUAAAGUGCUGGCGAGUGGCGGACAGGUGAGUAAUGCGUAGGAAUCUGUCCUAAAGCGGGGGAUAACCCGGGGAAACUCGGGCUAAUACCGCAUACGCUCUGAGGAGGAAAGCUAGGGACCUUCGGGCCUGGCACUUUAGGGUGAGCCUACGUUGGAUUAGCUAGUUGGUGGGGUAAUGGCCCACCAAGGCGACGAUGCAUAGCCGACCUGAGAGGGUGAUCGGCCACACUGGGACUGAGACACGGCCCAGACUCCUACGGGAGGCAGCAGUAGGGAAUCUUCCACAAUGGACGAAAGUCUGAUGGAGCAGCGCCGCGUGAGUGAUGAAGGUUUUCGGAUCGUAAAACUCUGUUGUAAGGGAAGAACAGGUAUGAGAGGUAAUGCUCAUGCUAUGACGGUACCUCACGAGAAAGCCACGGCUAACUACGUGCCAGCCGCCGCGGUAACAC